rfam:Fusarium oxysporum f. sp. cubense race 1 unplaced genomic scaffold scaffold48, whole genome shotgun sequence.
UCUCCCGUAGUACAGUAGUCAGUAUGCAAGCUUAUAAUGCUUGAACCUAGGUUUAAUUCCUGGCGGGAGAG